GAUCAUGGCUCAGGAUGAACGCUAGCGGCAGGCUUAACACAUGCAAGUCGAGGGGCGAGCAUUUGGGUAGCAAUACCUGAGAUGGCGACCGGCGCACGGGUGCGUAACGCGUAUGCAACCUACCCAUAACAGGGGCAUAACACUGAGAAAUCGGUACUAAUUCCCCAUAACAUUCGAAGAGGCAUCUUUUCGGGUUGAAAACUCCGGUGGUUAUGGAUGGGCAUGCGUUGUAUUAGCUGG
rnacentral:rRNA from 1 species